AAAUGGUUUUCUUGCGCUCACCGGAAGUAUAUAAAGUCAAUGACCACCAGCUGCAUAGAAUCCCGGUAGAGAAAGUCAAAGUUCGUCAUUUUCAUGAUUGAGUGAUGACUUAGAUUUGCAUUUCACUCUUUUCAAUUAUUACGUAAACCAAUUAUCUUAGAUUUGUUUCAACGUAUAAACUGUGGUUACUAAGCCUAUUUCUCAAAUUAGUUGUUAGGAAUUAUCGAUCGUUUGAUUGCUUAACUAGAUAACGACACAAGAUUUUUAACCCAGUUCCCUUGCGGUACUUCUGGGGUGGGAACCGUCUCCCACAACUUCCACUAUCAAUCAAAGGGUUUACACAAACGCUAUGCGCUCAAUAGAAAAGACACACCAAAGAAUAUGAGAGAUCAAAGAAACUCUAUCCCGGAGCGACAUGACUCGAACAAUGUCUCCUAAGUUUCUUCUACCCGAUCUCUCUCCCGACUCCCUCUUUGUUCUACUUCUGUUUCGGAUGCUUGUAAAGUCUUGACCACGUUCUCUAUUUAUGACCCUAACCACCGACGUUAGUUUUCCUUUUCUUAAUUGCCUUAGCAAUUUGACUAACCGACACUAACGUGUUUCCUCUUUUGCACAGGUUUGGUUAUUGGGAUGUAAGCUUGGAUAAGCAAUUGGAUUUGGGCCUAUUAUCCUUUCGAUCUCCACCUUAGGACCAAAUACCAAUUCUUCUAACUCUCGCUUGCUUUUCUCUCGUUCACACCGUCGCACCUCUCUUUAACAUUGGACAUUUUUUUUCUUUCUGUUUUCAUAUGAAAGCUCCCAUAGCUCGCGUUCCAAAUGACGGGAACCCAUUCAAACUUCUAAAGACUUCAUCUUGCUCUUCAGUAACACUUAACCAUCAUUGCGCAACCGUUGAAGGUUCCUCAUCGUACAAGACCCCCACCAUCCAUACUGAAGAUCGCGAUUCUUCAUUAAUGGUGAAUCUUGUUUUGCCUGAAUCAAGCUGAUAAAUCUCACCGGAGUUCUGUAGUUUCCAUGACAACGUCUGUUUGCUGAUCUCUAUCACAAGCUUCCCUUUCUGCUUUUGACUCACUUGUCAAUCCAUAUCAUCGUUGAUGCCCCUUCCGUUUACUUCUCUAACGAGACCCAUCGGAGCCAUCAACAGUGACCUUUCUUUCCGCGUUCCUCUCUGCAUCUCCCUGCGGUGCCCUUGUCGCCAUUACUCCACCUGGAGCUGCUUCACCACAGCUACUGCAACUUUCGACCACUUCUCUGCACCAUUAAGAGUACAUAAUACUUGACGUUGGCCUUAACCCUUUGAUUAUUCCCUUGAUAGUGAACAUAACUUGAUGCAACUUCAACAUGAAUCUUUGCAUCCUCUGGCAUAAGGCUUCGAGGCCAUUACCCAAUAGCUUCUCCGAUGAACAACCGCAUCUCCUCAGCUGUGCUGAUAACUCGAGCUUUCUUGGACGAAGAACGGACCUGUGUCCAUCUACUGCAGUUUCAUCUUCUUGCAGCAUCUCCAGCUACUCGCUCCUUUGCUGCUCACGAUGAUCCAUGUUCUGUACCUUGAGACUUUAACUACUCCACCUUAAGCAAUUUCUUUUGCUUUUUCUGUAGCUACUCCACCUGAAGCCAAUAUCUCUUCACCCUAGCUUCAUAGUUGUCACAGGUUUGGUUAUUGGGAUGUAAGCUUGGAUAAGCAAUUGGAUUUGGGCCUAUUAUCCUUUCAUUAGUGGGUCUAACUAAUAUCACAGAUGAUUAAAAGCAAACUAAACAUUUAUUUGAACAAAAAAAAAAGAGCUUAC